rnacentral:rRNA from 1 species
CGAGCGAACAGCACUUAUUAGAGCCAUGAGCCAGCACAUGGUGAUUCUGGAUAUUUUGUUGCUAAGCGAUAUGGUCUCGUACCAUCGCUAGUCUUUGCGAGCUUCUGACCUAUCAGCCAGAUAGUUAGAUAUAGGCUAACAAUGGCUUUGACGGGUAACGGGGAAUCUGGGUUCGAUUCCGGAGAGGGAGCCUGAUAAACGGCUACCACAUCUAAGGAAGGCAGCAGGCGCGGAACUUAACCAAAUACUAGCUCUGUGAGUUAGUGACGAAACAUCUUAAUGUGAGGUUCUUAACCGAGCCUUACAAUUGAAAUGAGUUUAUUGUAAAGUCUUAUUACGACAAACUACCGGAGGGCAAGCCUGGUGCCAGCAGCCGCGGUAAUUCCAGCUCCAUUAGCGUAAUCUAAUAUUGCUGCGGUUAAAGUGUUCGUAGUUGGCUUUUAUAGUCU